rnacentral:lncRNA from 1 species
CUGGAGGAAGUCCACUGGGGGAGAGUGACAGUUCAGGGCAGCAAUGCUUCUCAUUGGCUGAGCUUCGGCAUUUGUCGUUGGCUGGGCUGCGGUGUUUCUCAUUGGCUGGGCUGUGGCGUUUCUCAUUGGCUGAGCUGCAGCAUUUCUCAUUGGCUGGGCUGUGGCAUUUCUCAUUGGCUGAGCUGCAGCAUUUCUUAUUGGCUGGGCUGUGGCAUUUCUCAUUGGCUGGGCUGUGGCGUUUCUCAUUGGCUGAGGCGCAACGCUUCUCAUUGGCUGAGCUGCAGCAUUUCUCAUUGGCUGGGCUGUGGCGUUUCUCAUUGGCUGAGCUGCAGCAUUUCUCAUUGGCUGGGCUGUGGCGUUUCUCAUUGGCUGGGCUGUGGCGUUUCUCAUUGGCUGAGCUGCAGCAUUUCUCAUUGGCUGGGCUGUGGCGUUUCUCAUUGGCUGAGCUGCAGCAUUUCUCAUUGGCUGGGCUGUGGCGUUUCUCAUUGGCUGGGCUGUGGCAUUUCUCAUUGGCUGGGCUGUGGCAUUUCUCAUUGGCUGGGCUGUGGCAUUUCUCAUUGGCUGAGCUGCAGCAUUUCUCAUUGGCUGGGCUGUAGCAUUUCUCAUUGGCUGGGCUAUGGCGUUUCUCAUUGGCUGGGCUGUGGUGUUUCUCAUUGGCUGGGCUGUAGCAUUUCUCAUUAGCUGGGCUGUGGCGUUUCUCAUUGGCUGGGCUGUUGCCGGGUAGGGAGAGAAAUCUUCCUUCAGUCCUAAAGUAGUUGUACUUCCUGAGAAAGAUGCCACUGUCCUCUCUUCCUGUUUGGCGUCCUUGACCAUGUGUGACUGGGGUGGGAGCUCCUGCUGCAGCCCUUCCCCACUCCAGUUUAGUGAAGGUUCUUUAUUAAUUUCCACAGACUAUAACUAGAUUCAAGUCCCAGCUGACCCUGGAAGGUGACCCAUGAGGAGAUGUGCUACAUCCCAAAAGAACUACUUGAGUUUUGUAAUUUGUGCCCUAAUUUGGACAGAAGUCCAGGAAUGUGUGUGGGAACGGAUACUAGGGGUGUGGGGUAAUGGUGGAAGGAAGAUAAAGUUGGAUCAGACCCAAUCCAAAGAAGUUGAUAUGGUUGACUACACAGGGAUUCUGUGUCAAUGCGGC